AUUGAACGCUGGCGGCAGGCCUAACACAUGCAAGUCGAGCGAGCGGCGGACGGGUGAGUAAUGUAGGGGGACUGCCCGAUAGCGGGGGAUAACUACUGGAAACGGUAGCUAAUACCGCAUACUAUCGGCUAAUCCAUAUGGGAUUAGCUAGUAGGUGAGGUAAUGGCUCACCUAGGCGACGAUCCCUAGCUGGUCUGAGAGGAUGAUCAGCCACACUGGGACUGAGACACGGCCCAGACUCCUACGGAGGCAGCAGUGGGGAAUAUUGCACAAGGGGCGCAAGCAUGAUGCAGCCAGGCCGCGUGUAUGAAGAAGGCCCUAGGGUUGGAAAGUACUUUCAGUCGGUAGGCGUUACCGACAGAAGAAGCACCGGCUAACUACGUGCCAGCAGCCGCGGUAAUUC
rnacentral:rRNA from 1 species